GGCAGGUCUCUGCUUGUUCAGUCCAAAUGCAAUGCCACCACCAGGGAACGACUCCCAGGCUGAAAGGUACAGAAACUUGCGGGCCCAGCGCUUGGCCGCCCUCAAUGCCCUCCUGUGGGAUGAGCAGAAAGGCGCCUGGUUCGACUACGACACAGAGAAGGGCAAGAACCUGGAGUUUUACCCUUCCAACCUCGCCCCGCUCUGGGCCGGCUGCUUCUCUGACCCUGCCACCGUGGACAAGGCUCUGAAAUACCUGGAGGACAGCCAGGUCCUAACCUACCAGCAUGGGAUUCCAACCUCUCUCCGGAACACAGGCCAGCAGUGGGAUUUCCCCAAUGCCUGGGCCCCCCUGCAGGAUCUGGUCAUCAGAGGGAAGGGGGCUCUGAAGAUUCAGGUUCUGCUUGGGGUGGAGUCUAGGCUUGGCCAAGUCCUCUUCGCCUCGGACCAAGGAAGUGACUUUUCAACUGGCCCAGAAUUGGAUCCGAACCAACUUUGAUGUCCCUCACCUUCCUCCCCCAGUAUGACAUCAGCAAUGGUGGACAGCCAGGUGGAGGAGGGGAGUAUGAAGUUCAGGAGGGGUUUGGCUGGACCAAUGGAAUGGCCCUGAUGCUCCUGGACCACUAUGGUGACCGGCUGACCUCGGGGACCCAGAUGACUCCUCAGGUGCCCCCCUGCCUGGGGGCUGCCCUUCUGUUCCACCUCCUGCUCAGCUUCCUGCCGUGGUGACCAGGGACUAGCAGGGUGGCCUCACCACUGCCCCUGCCUGCUGCACUUCCUCCUCUGCCCCAUCUCCCAGCCUGCUCUGUUCACAGUGCAGGGGGCAGGGCAGUGGCCUGGAGGCCAGGUGGUGGGGCUGGGGCCCUUCUGGAAUCUUUGAAGGGGUGUUAAUCCUGCAGGGUAGAGAAGACACCACCCCGCCACCUGUGAACCCCAGCCCCAUGCCCCACACAGUCCGUUCUUCCACACACUUACAUUAUUGUUCUGCUUAUUUGUAAAUGCUUACCAAUACUGAAAAACACCCAGCCUGGCCCAGGCCACAGGGACCCGGGGCUGGGGAGGAGGGCAGGGGAGAUGCUGUCAGAAUGAAUAUCUGACUCUGUCUUCAAAGGAUUCCAGACCGUAAUGGAUUCCUCUCUCAAAUCAAUUUAUAUUCCUGAGUCUUGUUGAAGACAGUUGAACAAUUGGCUUGCAAUUAGUGGAGCUUAAUUGCUGGGUGUGCUCAGGGAGAGAGCCCUGCCCAGACCUUGGAGUGACUAGGCACACCCAAAGCUCUGGCCCCUCCAAGGAGUCACACCAUGGCCUUAACACCUCAGGUAGGUGCCUACAACACAUAGGGGACUGUUAUAAUCCAGUCAGACAGUCCACACAUAGGUGAACAAAUAAUAAUGAACUCAAGGAAGAGGAAAUGCACAGAUUGCUACAAUAUAUAACCUACAAUGCCUAUUUUUUUCCUUUGGUACUGGGGAUUGAACCCAGAGGGGCUUUACCCCUGAGCAACAUUCCCAGCCCUUUUUAUAUUUUUACUUUGAGACAGAGUCUCUCUAAGUUGCUUAGGGCUGACGUGCCAGAUUCGUGGGACCCCAAUAGAUCUCCAGGAGCCGAAUCUGAUGCAAUCACACAAGAGUCUUUAUUGCAAGCUGGAGCCUGGACUCACAACCGUUUCCUACGCAGCGGUCCCGAGAGCUGGGUUAUCUGUCCUUUGAGGACUCACCCACCGCAGGAAAGAAGUAAUCCAGACUUUGGGGAUGGUACCAGAAGACCUCAGAAAUGGCUAUUUCCCAAAUUAACACGUGAAUUCCCAACUCCAACAGAGAGCAUGUGAAAUGCAGCCUUUGAGUCACCUCUACAAAAGCCCCCUCACAGCCUCUGGGACAGGAGUGCCCCGUGGUUCACCUUUGCUAGCAAAGCAAUCAACUUUCUUUCUCCCUUUUCUCAAAAUGGUGUUAUUAUUGGACCAGCACCCGGGACAAGGACCGAGAUUUCCACCACAGGAUGUUGUCCCAGUGUUGGAGACUCUAGGACUUGAAGAAAUAAACGACAGAAAGAUGGCAACUCACAUCACAUAAAGAAUACUGAUGGGAAGAAAGACAGAGCCGGAGGAAGAACCCGGUGGGGCGCCUUGUUUCUGGUCUGGCACGGGAGGGUCACUCCAUCAAAACAGACAUUGUUUUUGUAAGAAAAAGAAAGAAAGAAACUUCUGAAACUCAAAGACAAAGAAAAAAGCCUGAAACAGAAAAAAUACUCAAGCACUGUAGGACAACUACAAAAGGUGCAUCAUAUAUUUCGGAAAACAGAAGAAGAAAGCGGGAAGAGGACAGAAGAAAUAUUCGAAACAAUGAUGAGAGUCUCUCAAUAUAAUAUCAGACACCAAACACUGGAUUCCGGAAGCUCAGAGGACACCAAGUAAGAGAGACGUCCCCAAAAUCUACACCUAGGCCUCUUAGAUCCACACUCACAAAUUCAAAGUUAAAGAGAAAAAUCCCAAAAGAAGCCAGAGGAAGGAAACACCAUGUGUAGCCAGAAGAAGAAUUAAAUCAGAAUUCUUGGAAACCCGAGCAGUGAAAAGAGAGCAGAGUGAAAUAUUUAAAGUGUAAAGAGAAAAAAUAAAUAAAUAAACCCCAUCAACCUAGAA